GCUGUAUUCUGUGAAUGAUUUACUUCUAGUCCAAAACAUCAUGUAGUUGAAAUCUGUCAAAUAUAUAUUCUCAUCUGUCAUUGGCCAACAAAUGUUACACAUAUCUGUAUUGACACUUCUGAGUUAACUAAACUUGACUUUUUAAUUAAAUAACGCUUACUAGAAGUUACUAGCACACUCACAUAACACUAAGAAAAUCAAAUGCUGGCAGUAGGAACAACAAUAUAAACAUUAGUACUUUGCUAGUCUUAAUGUGGCAAAGACAAUAUCUCAUACAUCUAGGAUUCAUUCAACAUCUUCAUCAUUCUCACUCACCAUGUACAUAUACACAUGCUCUCUAUUGAAAACAUGUCUUCCUUCUUAUACCAAUAGCUUCUAAAGAGUUUGCUAUUGUUCAGUCACUAACUCUAAAGAGUUUAGCCACUAUCUAUGUAAUAAAGAAACCAUAUCAUUAGCAAU
rnacentral:lncRNA from 1 species